ACGGUCGCAAGGCUGAAACUCAAAGAAUUGACGGGGGCCCGCACAAGCGGUGGAGCAUGUGGUUUAAUUCGACGCAACGCGAAGAACCUUACCUGGGCUCGAACGGGCUAGUGCUAGUCGGUGAAAGUCGGCGUUCUCUUCGGAGACGCUAGCCGAGGUGCUGCAUGGCUGUCGACAGCUCGUGUCGUGAGAUGUUGGGUUAAGUCCCGCAACGAGCGCAACCCUUGCCUUUAGUUGCCAGCAUUUAGUUGGGCACUCUAAAGGGACUGCCGGUGAAAAACCGGAGGAAGGUGGGGAUGACGUCAAGUCCUCAUGGCCUUUAUGUCCAGGGCUACACACGUGCUACAAUGGGCGGUACAGAGGGUCGCAAACCCGCAAGGGGGAGCUAAUCUCAAAAAGCCGUCCUCAGUUCGGAUUGGAGUCUGCAACUCGACUCCAUGAAGUUGGAAUCGCUAGUAAUCGCGGAUCAGCAUGCCGCGGUGAAUACGUUCCCGGGCCUUGUACACACCGCCCGUCACAUCACGAAAGCCGUUUGUACUAGAAGCCGGUAAUUCAACCUUCGGGAGAUAGCCGUCCAAGGUAUGAAUGGUGAUUGGGGUG
rnacentral:rRNA from 1 species